rnacentral:rRNA from 1 species
AUACGUAGGGGGCGAGCGUUGUCCGGACUGAUUGGGCGUAAAGGGCGCGUAGGCGGCGCGGUAAGUCUGGAGUGAAAGUCCUGCUUUCAAGGUGGGAAUUGCUUUGGAUACUGCCGCGCUUGAGUGCAGGAGAGGUUAUCGGAAUUCCCGGUGUAGCGGUGAAAUGCGUAGAGAUCGGGAGGAACACCAGUGGCGAAGGCGGGUAACUGGACUGCUACUGACGCUGAGGCGCGAAAGUGUGGGGAGCAAACAGGAUUAGAUACCCUGGUAGUCCACACUGUAAACGAUGAAUGCUAGGUGUAAGAGGUAUCGACCCCUUUUGUGCCGGAGUCAACACAAUAAGCAUUCCGCCGGGGGAGUACGGCCGCAAGGUUGAAACUCAAGGUAAUUGACGGGU